GCUGUGUGACGACUUAAGACAAGUCAAUUCUCCUUUCUCAGCCUUAGCUUCUCCCCCUUUCAAGUAGGGAUAAGAAGCCGCUCCCACCCACCUCAUGGUGGGUGGAGGAUGGGGAAUCCAUUGGAGAGUGUCACUAGGAGCAGUGCAUAAUAUGAGGUGUCCUAUCCCAUUUACUCAGAUCAGGCUGCCUUGACCCCAGACUCACGCCUGCUCCCCGCUCGCUUCCAGGAUGUCCAGACCCCUGAGGAUGUUCAGGAAGAAGGCUCUGCAGGUGGUCCCAGAGCCUGAGGGAAGCAGCUGCCGUCUUCCCCAGGAGCAGAGCGCCCCUCCGUCCCCGCUGGUGGGGAAGGAGCUCCCGGCCGGGCCAGGAGGUGGAAGUGCCCAGCCUUCUGGCAGAGGAAACCCACUCACGGCACAGGUGCUGCAGUGAGAGAGGCACUGGGCAGAUUGAAAUGGAGCUGGACCGGGAUGCGGCUGGGCAGGCAGGACCCAGCCCAGAAGGGGAGCCGGACAGGGUGGCUCUGGGGCUCUGGCUCCGGGGCCCCAAGAGCCCAGCCCUGAUUCCCAGCAGGAGGCAUCGCCCUCCCCAGGGCAGGAGGUGGAGGAUCCCUGUCCCAGCACCAGCAGCUUGGGCCGCUCCCCAGGGGACAGCAGCAGCGCCUGGGACUCAGGCAGCAGCAAGGCCGAUGGGCGCCGCUGCUUUGUUCCAGGGACCCCCAGGGACUCAGAGGACGAGGAGGAGGAAUGUGUGGACGUGGCCACAGAGGAGGCUGCUCUCAAAAACAGCCAACAGCAGCUCCAGGGCCCAGAAUAGCUACAAACGUUCCCCAGCUGUGCUGGAACUGAGAUUGUCCUGUCGCUUCCCAGCACCCAGCGGGUCUUGUCUCUGAUGAUCCACCAGCCCUAAUGGGGACCUUUCUCCACCUUGAUCUGGGACCCCCAAAAUGGGGGUAUUUGUCACACGCCAGCCGGGGUCUCCUCCCCCCACAGACACUAUCCCAGUUCCUGACCUUCUUGUGUAGGAGUUGUGGGUGAUUUGGACAAUGUUGUGGGUCCCCACUAGCCCCCAUUCAGGCCUGAGUCCUGCAGCUGGUGUAGGUGGGGCAGGGAGGUCCCUGGCUAACUGUCUCUCUCUCCCCUAACCCCAGUCCUUGUGGGUGCAGGAUGAGGCCCCGCAGCUCAUGUUCCUGCCCGCCAUCCACCCCCGCGUGUUUCGCUGCACAGCAGAGAGGGCAGGACACAUUGGAGCCGCACUGCUGCAAGGCAGCUGUGCUGGAGAGGACUGUGAGGAGCUCAUUGAGGAGCUGCCUGAUAACUCUCCACCCAGCGGCGUCUCGCUAACUCCCUGAUUGCUGUCGGCAACCUCAGCACCAUGAUACCUGCCCUUGAGCCAGAGCUGGAGACCCACCUGCUUUGAGCUGCCCUGCAUACCGUCUUCACCCUGGGCACGCAGAAGGACACCACCCAAGUCCAGGAUCUGCAUAGGGUCUUGCCAGACCUCCUGGAUGCCAUGCUGGGGAACCUGCUGGCAGAGUCCACAGACACCGACAGGCUCCACUACAUCUUGGAGGCGAGCCCGAUGAGAGGGCACAUUAACUACUGGAUCGUGUACAGGCUGUCGCAGGAGAGAGCCAGGGCCAUUAGGAGCAGCACGGCCCUGCUCAGAUUCACCAUCACCUUCCCUGAGUUUGACCUUUUAUGGUCAGUCCUACAUCCUGGAGGCAACCCAGCACCCUCUUCACCUGGGACACAUGUUCCUCCCAGGUCUGGCUAAAGACACAGAUAUCGUCAAUAUACGCCAGAGCAAAGUGCUCCAUCCCCCGUAGCAACUGAUCCACCAGGCGCUGGAAGGUGGCAGGUGCUCCCUUGUGACCGAAAGGCAGGAGCA